rnacentral:rRNA from 1 species
UACGUAGGGUGCAAGCGUUGUCCGGAAUUAUUGGGCGUAAAGAGCUCGUAGGCGGUUUGUCGCGUCUGCCGUGAAAGUCCGAGGCUCAACUUCGGAUCUGCGGUGGGUACGGGCAGACUAGAGUGAUGUAGGGGAGACUGGAAUUCCUGGUGUAGCGGUGAAAUGCGCAGAUAUCAGGAGGAACACCGAUGGCGAAGGCAGGUCUCUGGGCAUCUACUGACGCUGAGGAGCGAAAGCAUGGGGAGCGAACAGG